rnacentral:lncRNA from 1 species
CCUCCUUCUCAAUGGCUACCCUUGCAAUUCCUUAAUUCGUGUUUCUCUUGCUAUUGGUGAUAAACACCUUGUCUUGAUUGGAUAUAGCAUCUUGUCUUCCAGCUUGCAAGAGUAAGUGGCUCUUUCCAUUUUGUUAGCUUGAACUUCUCUUUCUUCAUCUUCCUAGUAUAAUAUUCUUGGAUCUUUGCUUCUAGCUGCGUUCGCCAGAGCGAGGGUACCCUGUUUGAUUUUUGGUGCUAACACUUGUGGUCUGAUCAGCUGAACUUUGGUAUUUAAUCCAAGUAAGAGACCCUUCCUACUAUGUUUCAUCUAACCAAUUGAGCUCAGUACUGAUCUUGGUUCUGUUGCUUGUUUGUAGUUAUGAAAGAGAGAGAGAUCGUAUGGUGCUAGGACCUACGUGUAGUUGAAGAAAAUAAAAAAACUCAACCGCUUGUAUUGAAAAUCUGCCAUGAAGACCACCUCAUCUACUGAGAGUCCUUUUUGUUUGGCUGGUGUAUCUAGG